CCUACGGGUGGCAGCAGUGAGGAAUAUUGGUCAAUGGGCGCACGCCUGAACCAGCCAAGUCGCGUGAGGGAAGACUGCCCUACGGGUUGUAAACUUCUUUUGUCAGGGAAUAAAGUCAGGCACGUGUGCCUGUUCUCAGGUACUUUAUGAAUAAUGAUCGGCUAACUCCGUGCCAGCAUCCGCGGGAAUACGGAGGAUUCGAGCCUUAUCCGGGUUUAUUUGGUUUUAAGGGUGCGUAGGUGGGAUGUUAAGUCAAUCGUUAAAGUUUGGGGCCUAACCGUCACAUUGCCGUUGAUACUGGCAGUCUUGAGUAGGCGUGAGGUAGGCGGAAUGCGUGGUGUAGCGGUGAAAUGCUUAGAUAUCACGAAGAACCCCGAUUGCGAAGGCAGCAUACCGACUUCCAACUGACACUGAGGCACGAAAGUGUGGGUAUCGAACAGGAUUAGAUACCCUAGUAGUC
rnacentral:rRNA from 1 species